rnacentral:rRNA from 1 species
CCCUUAGACACUCUAGGCGGCACGCGCGCUACAAUGGGUGGAAGAACGUGUUACUGCCUCCGAAAGGAGGGGUGAAUCACGAAUUCUUGCCCGUGAAUGGGAUAGUUUGUUGCAAUUUUCGGACUUGAACUAGGAAUCCCUUGUAAACAUGCUCAAGAAUAGCGUGUUGAAUACGCCCCUGCCGUUUGUACACACCGCCCGUCGUUUCUUCCGACUGAUACUCAUUGUGAGUUGCAAGGACCCUUUAUUGGGAAAUUGCUGCAAAUGCUUUGUAUUGGAGGAAGAAAAAGUCGUAACA